CCUUCAGAUUUUCUCACGUGUUUAAUCUUAAAAAAUAUCUCAAGGGAAGCAAUAGCACACAAGGGCAGAUUCACCAUUACUCAGAUACUGUUUCACUCACGUAUAAAUAUAUAGAACGUGCUUAUAACAUUAGUCUCCAGGCAAAAAUACUGUCUUUUAGCCGUGUUUUUUGAGAAACCAUAGUACUGGUUACCCUCGACCAAUAGAACCUGCUCGAAAGUGAUUCUAUUAAAAAUGGGAUCAAAGUUUUUAUUUUAAACGAUUAGGUGUCUAUUUCUGGUACAACUGAAAUAGAAAAUUGAAAAAGAGCUAUUUGCUACAGAUUAGAUAUUCUAUAUCAUGUUAUUUGAUACUACACUUUUGUGUUCUAAAAUGAAGCUUUCUAGCACUUGGCAUUAAAGGAAUCUUUGAUGAAGUUUUAGUAUCAAAAUGACUAAUAAAUUAAGAAACAGUGUACUUUUUCUGAGCUUAGUUUCUUAUAGGAAAAUCCCUGUAUUUGUAAGUUCUAGUCUCUGUAGAUUACAGAAACCGCGGAUGCGUGGGGGGAGGGGGGGGGCUAUGGGGAAAAUUAUGGGGUUCCCCAAUAAUUUCCAAAAUAUACUGAAAGUCAUUCAAAAAUCGCCCUGCUUUUGGUUCUAGCAUGUCUAGUCCCACCAAAACGUUUUAGUCCCCUCAAUCUGUAAUAUGCUCCGCGGUCGUUAGUAGAUCGAAGUAAGAUAAUGAACUGCAAUGGCAUACCACGCCUAUAUACCAAACUACAAUUACAUACACCAAGCCUUCAUUUCAAAUCUGGCUCUUUGACGGUAAGUCUGAAUCAUUCGAUGCUUUACAUCUACCCAUAGUCAAUUUUCAUCUUCGCCAUGUUGUUUUUGUGUACAGUGUUGUUUUCAACCACGAAGUCCAUCCCAAAGUUAGACGUUUUUCCGUUUGUGGUAGGCAAGUUAUCUUAAACACAUUUUAAUCGAAAUCUCAUUGAUCCUUCGAAGUGCUUUGUUUUAUUUUAUAUUUCAUUUUGUAAGCUUAUUAAAAACCAACCAAAAGAAAAUUAAUUCCGUGAUUCAUUUCUGCAUCCUGAAUUGAUAGAUUGGUCUCAUGCUUUUUUGUUAUCAAUUUUAAUUUAUUAAGUUUGGUAAAUGCAAUUUUGUAUGACUAUAUGGCCUCUGCGUCAGUCGCCACAAAACCAAAGCUGUUUCUUCUCAAGGGAAAAUUAUUCACCAUAUGUUGUAUUUGUAUCGAGCCAAGAUAAUCAGAGAUAUUUUUACUCAUGUUUUUAGUAUGAUGUCUUUUGAAUAUCCUUUAGUUGAGCAAGGCAGUGAAGCGAUUUUUUGAGCAGCGUUAUAGAUUAGAAGGGCGUGAUGUUUCUUGUUGCAAUAGACUUCGGUUAAAGUCGCAUGAAACGUUUUGUGACUGAAAGCGGAGUGUGACUAUAAAUGGAGCUACAAAAACUGUUGAAACUUUUCAAGAAAAGUUUAUAUUUUUUCUUUACUUUAAAAUCUAGUUCUACCGCCCCCCAUUACGAUUUGCAAAUUGUUAAAUGUAUCUACUUUUUCUUUCCGGUUCUUUCAUCUUCGCUCAUACGUAAAUUCUAAGGCUACAGAGCCUAAUUUUGUAGGUAGCAUUCCUCAUUGGUGGUGUGAUGUGUCGUGGGAUUUUUUCGAUGUUAAAUAUUCCAUGGCCUAAAAAAGAUUAGUGCAUCAUUUAUUAAAUUCAAUUUGAAAUCGCUUCAGUGGUUUUACGCGAAGCAGAUAAGAGUCGCAGUCAUCGGUGUUCGGGCUAGGGUGGGAGGCGUUGGGCUGUGUCCCCCUAGAUUUUGGGACGUGGUUAUUGUCAGAUAAGACGAAUAACUGGGGACACAGCCUUGCAGAGGGCAAAAGGCAAGAGCUUCACAAUAAGAGACUCGUGAUUCUGUUUAAGUGCAAGGGCGGGAGCCGUGUUCCCUUCAUCCAGAUAUCAUUUCUAACAAGUCUCUUUUAAUCCAAAUCAAUCAAAAUAGACAAGACUGCUAUUGUAGGUUCUCUUAGGUAUGACAUGACUGUUUGCUACUGUAUUUAUGUACAAGAAUAACUUGAACAUUUCAAUUAAAGAUUUACAGGCUGUUAACUUUUAGACGGAGGUGUAGUGCUAUGAAGUAUGCAAGGGGGGCUCUCACGCAAAAGGGUGCAAAGAACAACAGCAAAGGUGCAAAUUGGUUCUUUUCAUCCUUAGCAAGUCAGGCUCAGCCUUCCUAGAACCACACCCUUGCUUUCGUAAUGUCAACGGAUAAAACUUCAUGUGUUUAGAAUGGUACUGAAAAAUGCAAAAAUAGGGUGUUUGUGCACUGUAGAAGGACUCAGUUCCAGAUUUUGACUCCAAGAACAUUGAACUUUACUACUUAAGGAGAAGGCUCAGAUUUAUUAUAAUCAAUAUUAUUCCAAUCCUCAAACAUGACUAAAUUGGAUGAAGUUUUUUAGAAUUUGUUGGGAUGGAAACGCUAAUGAUUUAAACUUUUCGCUAAUUAAUGUGGCUAGAUCUAGUUUGACUUCACCCCGUGUAAAUUGUGAAAUGGUACUUUAUUCAGACCAACAGCGCUCAGCCAUUCUACGCGAGUCCGGGCCGUACGCCUUCAAUCACAGUUGAUUCUGCAGGGCAUACUGUGCUUUCAGGCAGGCAGUGGUUUACAGGUACUCUACAGCCACUCCGCCCAGUGGCUAAGAGUCAAUUGACUGGAACUGUUUUCAUGCUGACCAAGGGCUUUGUCUAUUUGAUGAGCCUUUGGGCCUUAGGCCCUCUUUCCGUCGUAGGACUUUGGCGCUUGAAAAUUUGUUAGAGAAGCCGAAAUUAAAAAUGUGCAAAAAUGUAAUACACUUUUUAAAGGGAACACAAUUUGGACCCUAUUUCAACCGACACUGUUUCUUUGUUUAAAGUACAUAUCACAUUUGCAUCGCAUAUUAUUAAUCUUACACUGCAUCAACCUAUGAGUAAUGGCCUAGAAAAAUCUUCAUCACGAAACAUCUUCAUCACAAAAUCUCUUCUUCACGAAGAUAGACAUGAUAUAAGAAACGCUAUUUCAUGAAAACACUUUAUUCACAAAAAACUCUUCGUGAUGAGAAAAUUUUGUAAAAAACGAAACAAAUUCAAGCUGGAUGAGUGUACAUCGAAAUUUCACCCUUAACUUGUUUUCUCAAAGAAAUUCAGAUACAUAAUAAGUCAAAAUGUCGAUAAACUUCAAAGUAUAUUAUUAUUUUAAUUAAUUUCAUAAAUUUCACCAAUUUAAAGCCUCAAUAUUCUUAUAACUAUUUUCUUUUAAAAAGUGUGUAUUUCUGCAAAUCUUAAGUCAUUCACAUCAAUAAGAAAUUCUUUGUGAUCAACUUAAUCUACAUAAAUUUCCUCAUAGAUCUAACUCCAAUUUAAUUUCGAAGAUUUAACCGCAAGCAAUGAUUUUUCCCCAAAUUAAUUCAGAGUCUAAAAAGCAGCUUACGUGCUCACAAAUUGAGUGCUCACAAAAGCGAUAUUCACAGACGAAAAUGAACAAAAACCAUUGUCUCUUUGUUGUCUAUAUUAUAUCAAACUUGUCUAUUGCAUGCCUUGACGUAACUGAUUGAUAAUAAUAAGAAAUAGUUAAUUAUUUACAAAAGAGACGAGUCAUCGCGGAUUAAGGGUUUCGGUUGCGGGGAAAUGCCGCUUUUACUAUGUGUGGGAUAAACGUGAGAUAAGAUUUCAGCGUAAAGAAUAUUUGAACGAGCAACAGUGAGUCAGAGUUCUUCUUCUAAUGUUCCUUGCUACCCGCAAGUUUGAAAGAAGCUCAGCAUCCUGUUUUGUCGAGUUGUUCACCUGCUUGAGUUUAAACCCAACCCACUUUGCGUUUUGUGGCCAACAAACGGCGACUGCAAGACUACAAGCAAGUCAUCUGCCCUUUUCCUGCUGAAAAAGUCACAUUUUAGUCCUAAUUUGAAUCCAGCAAUGGCUGAAGUCAGUAAAAGAGGUAGCCGAAGCACACAUGGCUUGGACGAUGUUAUUUUGGAAACGUCAGAGUCCGAUUUAAAAGCGAUUCGCAAUGAAACCGCCGAGCUCAUGGACAACUUUAACAAAUUGAGGGAGAUGAAUGGAAAUACUAGAAGACGAAUGGCCUCUCUUCAAUCUGAAUUCGAAGGCGCAAAAUCGAGGCUAGAAACCCUGAUGCAUCGACAUCAAACUGCUACACCUGACUACAACGCCUACCAGAUCAUGCGCAGAAUAUCUCGAUCAUCGAUGCCACGUAAGAUUUCACAUCAGAGCGACUCGUGAACGUUCAACCACAAACAAUGUGUAUACAACAUCAUUUUAAUGUAAUUAAUUACAAUUUUUCAGUAAGAGGUAGUUAGAGCUUCUUUUAUAAAUAGUGUAAUUUUUGAAUUAGCAUUCAAGCUUUCUUAUUUCAAA